UAACGGAAGUGAUGUUCUAACGGCUCUGCCGCCAUUACGCCCAGGGGUUCCGUGAGGAGAAGUCCUCGCUGAGGCUUCAAACCACGGUUAGAGCGCCGGAGGAGGAGUUUUUGGGCCCGAGUGUCCAGCAGCAGAGGACUUGGCAGCCAUCUUACAAGCCGAGAGCCAAAGCGCUCGAGACCAUCGGGAUAGUGCCCGCCCUGGUUAGUUUAGGGAGAGAGGAAAAAAAAAAUGGCAGAAACAAACCGCCCAGAAAAGCUCGUCAUUGGUGAGCUUAGUAAAGAACUCAAAGAGAAAACCCUUAGAGCCCUAUUUAUGAAAUACGGGCAAAUAAUGGAUGUCAUUUUGAACAACGAUCGCGAAACCAACAAGUCCCGAAGAAGAUGCAAUAAUGGCGCGGCCGUUGAAGACCCUGCAGGUGUUAAGGGUGCAGGUGCGGAGGGCGGAAAUGUGCAUGGAAAGCUCUCUGACGGAAAAGCUAGAGUGGAGCAAGGGAAAGCCACCAGAGUGGAACAUGCCACCAAAGCAGCUUUCGGGGGUGGUAGACUUGAACCACCUCCUCCUCCUCCUCCUCCCAGAUGCACUGGCCCUCCCAAAGGUAGAGGAAGAGGAAGAGGCGGGAAGAGAGGAAGUAGGCGGCUUCCCACACACGUGGCUGAUGGCAGCUCCUCCGUAAAAUAUUAAGAUGAGUUCUUCCAAGGGGGCCAGUUUCCAGUUAAAAAGAGCCACCACCGUGAGGUUGGGGUUGUCCUUCUAAGAGAUUGGUGCCCUCUAUAUCACACUGGAAGAGAUAGUUGUGGAAGCAGAACAUCAAGUAACCCACUAUAUUACAGAGACUUUUGUUUCUUGCCAGUUGAGUAGUCUACCAAAGGCUUCUAGUCCGUGAUCAUCCAAGUUCUAGUGAUACAAGAGAUUAUACACGACCACCAAAAGAUUAUACUGUCAUUCUCCAUCGUCUGGGUCUAUGUGGUGAUGACUGCCCAUCAAGAGGUUAUAGUGAUAUGGAUAUGUUUGAAGUAGUGACUAUUUCGAUCAUCUCAGGUUGAGUUUACUUCAGAAAUUCUGUGAGACCAGUGCUCCACCUCGAGUGGAGUGCCCCACUCUUGAGAUCUAAUAGAAGCAGUCACUGUGGUAAUAAUUGCAUCUUGUGUGAUAGAUAGGAAGCCCAAACAUCUUAAGUUGUCACAAUUGCCUUGGAAUACAAGAACUUGGGCUUCCCCUUGUUUGGAAAGGAGAUGCCCUCCGUGUGAUCCCUACAGCAGUGCAAUCCACACAGCACAGAGAUGUGACAAUGGAAGAAGCCAAUCUGAUAGAUGGGGAGGCAGAAGCACAUCCUAGAAAUCCAUAAAACUUUGGACCAAAAUCCAAAUGUACAAGAUAGAAAUGAUUCAUAACUACCUAAGGAUUAGUGGAAGGAGUUCUGUUGACUUUUUGAGUUUUCUGGUUAGCUUUUAUGUUUUGUGAGAGGGAAAGUAAGCUAUUUAAUUUUGAUAGUAGAAUUGUUUUAGCAGGAAAAUGUUAAGUGUGUUAAGUCCUGACGUGGACCAAUAUGUUUACAAAUAAAAGCAUUCCUAAAAACUA